UCCUACGGGGGGCAGCAGUGGGGAAUAUUGGACAAUGGGCGCAAGCCUGAUCCAGCCAUGCCGCGUGUGUGAAGAAGGCCUUCGGGUUGUAAAGCACUUUAAGCGAGGAGGAAGGUCUUUGAACUAAUAUUUCAAAGAAUUGACGUUACUCGCAGAAUAAGCACCGGCUAACUCUGUGCCAGCAGCCGCGGUAAUACAGAGGGUGCAAGCGUUAAUCGGAAUUACUGGGCGUAAAGCGCGCGUAGGCGGUAUGUUAAGUCGGAUGUGAAAUCCCUGGGCUCAACCUAGGCAUUGCAUCCGAUACUGGCACACUAGAGUGUGGGAGAGGAAGGUAGAAUUCCAGGUGUAGCGGUGAAAUGCGUAGAGAUCUGGAGGAAUACCGAUGGCGAAGGCAGCCUUCUGGCCUAACACUGACGCUGAGGUGCGAAAGCAUGGGGAGCAAACAGGAUUAGAUACCCCGGUAGC
rnacentral:rRNA from 1 species